GACGAACGCUGGCGGCGUGCUUAACACAUGCAAGUCGAACGGAAAGGCCCUGCUUUUGUGGGGUGCUCGAGUGGCGAACGGGUGAGUAACACGUGAGUAACCUGCCCUUGACUUUGGGAUAACUUCAGGAAACUGGGGCUAAUACCGGAUAGGAGCUCCUGCUGCAUGGUGGGGGUUGGAAAGUUUCGGCGGUUGGGGAUGGACUCGCGGCUUAUCAGCUUGUUGGUGGGGUAGUGGCUUACCAAGGCUUUGACGGGUAGCCGGCCUGAGAGGGUGACCGGCCACAUUGGGACUGAGAUUCGGCCCCGACUCCUACGGGAGGCAGCAGUGGGGAAUAUUGCACAAUGGGCGGAAGCCUGAUGCAGCAACGCCGCGUGCGGGAUGACGGCCUUCGGGUUGUAAACCGCUUUCGCCUGUGACGAAGCGUGAGUGACGGUAAUGGGUAAAGAAGCACCGGCUAACUACGUG
rnacentral:rRNA from 1 species